UACAAUUUUGCUCAAUGGCUUGAGCCAUGGUUUUCUCAAACUAAGCAUGAUAUAGGUUUUAAUAAUUGAUGAAUGCCACCAUGCCAGUGGUAAACACCCUUAUGCUCUCAUUAUGACGGAGUUCUAUCACCGUGAGCUAAGUUAUGCUAGAUCUGAUCUUCCUAGAAUAUUUGGGAUGACUGCUUCCCCCAUAAAGACAAAGAGUGAAAACUCUUUUUGGGAAAAGAUUUGCGAACUUGAGACUAUGAUGAAUUCAAAGGUUGCUUCUGUUCUUUUGUAUAUAAUUUUUUCCUCUCACGCCAUAUGUGC